rnacentral:rRNA from 1 species
AUACAGGGGGUGCGAGCGUUAAUCGGAAUUACUGGGCGUAAAGAGUACGUAGGCGGUUGCUUAAGUCAGAUGUGAAAGCCCCGGGCUCAACCUGGGAACUGCAUUUGAAACUGAGUGACUAGAGUUUAAGAGAGGGGAGUAGAAUUCCGGGUGUAGCGGUGAAAUGCGUAGAGAUCCGGAGGAAUACCAGUGGCGAAGGCGGCUCCCUGGCUUAAAACUGACGCUGAGGUACGAAAGCGUGGGUAGCAAAUAGGAUUAGAAACCCUAGUAGUCC